CCAUGCUUCUCAGCCAAAAGAAGCCAUGUCUUCCUGGCCAUGCCUUCUUUUCUGGGCAGCUAUGUUAGCAGGUGUCCAAUCCCAAAUCAGGUUUGACCAAUCUGGUCCUGAACUUAGAAGGAUUGGAGAACAGGUGACACUCACCUGUAAGGCAUCUGGGUAUACAUUUACAAGCUAUGCUAUGAACUGGAUUAGACAGAAACCGGGGAAAGGACUAGAGUGGGUUGGCGAUAUUACGACAGAUAACUUUGCCACAAGCUAUGCGAAGGCUCUUGAAGGUCGAGCCGUCAUUACCGUGGACAUCUCUGUCAGCACCACGAACCUGCAGAUGGCGAACCUAAAAGCUGAAGACACAGCUGUUUAUUACUGUGCAAGAUACACAGCAUGGAAACCUACAUCCGAAGGCCUGCCAAAACCCCAGAGGAAAAGAGGAACCUCUGCUAGAGAAACAGAGUAUGAAUUCUAG